AAUGAACGCUGGCGGCGUGGAUUAGGCAUGCAAGUCGAACGAGAAAAUACCUUCGGGUAUGGGUACAGUGGCGAAAGGGUUAGUAAUACAUGAACAACCUGCCUUUAAGACGGGGAUAACUCGGAGAAAUUCGGGCUAAUACCCGAUGAUAUCAUGUAUCUCCGGAUACAUGAUCAAAUGGUGGUUUUAUAAUUUCUGCUUAGAGAGGGGUUCAUGGCCUACUAGUUUGUUGGUGAGGUAACGGCUCACCAAGACAAUGAUGGGUAGCCGGGCUGAGAGGCCGAUCGGCAACACUGGGACUGAGACACUGCCCAG
rnacentral:rRNA from 1 species